rnacentral:rRNA from 1 species
CCUACGGGUGGCAGCAGUGAGGAAUAUUGGUCAAUGGUCGGGAGACUGAACCAGCCAAGCCGCGUGAGGGAUGAAGGUACAGAGUAUCGUAAACCUCUUUUGUCAGGGAACAAAGGCGGGGACGCGUCCCCGGAUGAGUGUACCUGACGAAAAAGCAUCGGCUAACUCCGUGCCAGCAGCCGCGGUAAUACGGGGGGUGCGUGCGUUAUCCGGAUUUAUUGGGGGUAAGGGGGGGGCAGCCGGUCUGUUAAGUCCGCGGUCAAAGCCCGGGGCUCAACCCCGGACCGGCUGUUGAAACUGGCAGUCUCGAGUUGGAGAGAAGUAUGCGGAAUGCGCGGUGUAGCGGUGAAAUGCAUAGAUAUCGCGCAGAACUCCGAUGGCGAAGGCAGCAUGCCGGAUCGAAACUGACGCUGAGGCACGAAAGCGUGGGUAUCGAACAGGAUUAGAUACCCGAGUAGUC